rnacentral:rRNA from 2 species
CUCGUAGUUGGAUUUUGGUUAAGAGGGCGCGGUCGGCCGUUUGGUCUGUACUGCGUUGUCUUGACUUCCUGAUGAGGACAUGCUCUUGGUUAACGCUGAGACAUGGAGUCAUCGUGGUUACUUUGAAAAAAUUAGAGUGUUCAAAGCGGGCUUACGCUUGAAUAUAUUAGCAUGGAAUAACACUAUAGGACUCCUGUCCUAUCUCGUUGGUCUCGGGAUGGGAGUAAUGAUUAAGAGGAACAGUUGGGGGCAUUCGUAUUUCAUUGUCAGAGGUGAAAUUCUUGGAUUUAUGAAAGACGAACUUCUGCGAAAGCAUUUGCCAAGGAUGUUUUCAUUAAUCAAGAACGAAAGUUGGGGGCUCGAAGAUGAUUAGAUACCAUCCUAGUCUCAACCAUAAACGAUGCCGACUAGGGAUUGGUGGAUGUUAAUUGAUGACUUCACCAGCACCUUAUGAGAAAUCAAAGUUUUUGGGUUCCGGGGGGAGUAUGGUCGCAAGGCUGAAACU